rnacentral:lncRNA from 1 species
UAUAAAUGGAAGUUGCAUUCUUUAACCCAUCAGAACUCAAAAUAUUCAAUAUGUUUUUAAAAAGUAUUUGAGUAUAGUUAUGUUCUGAUUAAAUGCUUUUUAUUCUUCAUGAGGAAAAUGGGUAUGUUGUAUUUUUCAGUAUGUUUUGUAAGUAAAAAUAAAGAAAAUCACCAUGUAAAAACAAAGAUAGUGUGUAAAUUAUAUUUGUGUGCCCAGGUUUCUAGUAUCAGAAGGAUGGCCACAUUGAUAAAGCAGUCAUUUAUCAUCUUGAGUGAGUUCAAUUCCAGGGCCCCACAUACCCAUUUUUUCAGGAGGAGGUCUAGCCAUUGAACCAUCAUUCUUUAAUGUUCCAAUUGAUCCCACCUUGGGUGUUGGCCAGGCUGUGGUGGAUUUUAUAAGUGACUGCUGCCAAAGUAUCCCUUGUGAUUUGGCAGCUUAAUUCAAACUAACCUAAUCAAGUUUCUAGCAAAAAUCUGUAAUAAUUUUUAAUGCCACUUCCCAAUCAUUGGCUGAU